UACAGAGGUCUCAAGCGUUGUUCGGAUUCAUUGGGCGUAAAGGGUGUGUAGGUGGCGCGCUAAGUCGGGUGUGAAAUUUUGGAGCUUAACUCCGAAACUGCAUUCGAUACUGGCGUGCUUGAGGACUGGAGAGGAGACUGGAAUUCAUGGUGUAGCAGUGAAAUGCGUAGAGAUCAUGAGGAAGACCAGUGGCGAAGGCGGGUCUCUGGACAGUACCUGACACUGAGACACGAAGGCCAGGGGAGCAAACGGG
rnacentral:rRNA from 1 species